rnacentral:rRNA from 1 species
AUACGGAGGAUGCAAGCGUUAUCCGGAUUUAUUGGGUUUAAAGGGUGCGUAGGCGGUUUGCUAAGCGGGAGGUGAAAUGCCGGCGCUCAACGUCGGAAGUGCCUCCCGAACUGGUGGACUUGAAUGACUAUGCCGUGGGAGGAAUGUGUAGUGUAGCGGUGAAAUGCUUAGAGAUUACACAGAACACCGAUUGCGAAGGCAUCUCACGAAGGGUUGAUUGACGCUGAGGCACGAAAGCGUGGGGAUCAAACAGGAUUAGAUACCCUGGUAGUCCACGCAGUAAACGAUGAUGGCUAACCGCUGGGCUUAUCAGUUCAGUGGCCAAGCGAAAGCGAUAAGCCAUCCACCUGGGGAGUACGACCGCAAGGUUGAAACUCAAAUGAAUUGACGGGG